AUUCUGCCCUCACGGGGAAGGAUGAGAAGCUUCGACUAAGGUUCGAUUCGAGCGGAAGCGAGAAAGCGUUGCCGAAGGCAACGACCCGAAGGGCGAGGCGCAACGCGCCGAGUCAUCCUUCCCCCACCACCA
rnacentral:sRNA from 1 species